ACCUUAUAGACCAACUAAGUUUGUUCUGGUAUAAGAUUUCGUGUGCAUGCACACUUCUUCAGGCACACAAAAGCUUAUACCGAAACAAACUUAGUUGGUCUGUAAGGU
rnacentral:miRNA from 1 species